rnacentral:rRNA from 1 species
GACGAACCGAGCAAACGUUAUUCGGAAUCACUGGGCUUAAAGGGCGCGUAGGCGGGCAUCCAAGUCCGUGGUGAAAUCCGGCAGCUUAACUGUCGAACUGCCGUGGAUACUGGGUGUCUCGAGGGAGGUAGGGGCGUGCGGAACUAUUGGUGGAGCGGUGAAAUGCGUUGAUAUCAAUAGGAACUCCGGUGGCGAAGGCGGCACGCUGGACCUCUUCUGACGCUGAGGCGCGAAAGCCAGGGGAGCAAACGGG